CCUACGGGAGGCAGCAGUGAGGAAUAUUGGUCAAUGGACGAGAGUCUGAACCAGCCAAGUAGCGUGAAGGAUGACUGCCCUACGGGUUGUAAACUUCUUUUAUAAAGGAAUAAAACGAGGCACGUGUGCCUUUUUGCAUGUACUUUAUGAAUAAGGAUCGGCUAACUCCGUGCCAGCAGCCGCGGUAAUACGGAGGAUCCGAGCGUUAUCCGGAUUUAUUGGGUUUAAAGGGAGCGUAGAUGGGUUGUUAAGUCAGUUGUGAAAGUUUGCGGCUCAACCGUAAAAUUGCAAUUGAUACUGGCAGUCGUGAGUACAGUUGAGGUAGGCGGAAUUCGUGGUGUAGCGGUGAAAUGCUUAGAUAUCACGAAGAACCCCGAUUGCGAAGGCAGCUUACUAAACUGUGACUGACAUUGAUGCUCGAAAGUGUGGGUAUCAAACAGGAUUAGAUACCCGAGUAGUA
rnacentral:rRNA from 1 species